rnacentral:lncRNA from 1 species
UGUGUACUAAUGAGAGGCACAUUAGAGAACUCACCACAAUACACAAUGAUAUCCAAGUUACUCAAUGCGGAGUCAUACCAAACUAUAUCAUCAUUAGUGAGGGACAUAAGUCUCUGAGACCACCGUAGACAUUGUUUGUUCUCCAUAAAAGAAAGCGUCUGAGGCAAGUGCAAAAUAAACCACUUGUACAGAAGAGGAAC